GCGUGCUUAACACAUGCAAGUCGAACGAAGAGAGAUUAGCUUGCUAAUUGAACUUAGUGGCGGACGGGUGAGUAACGUGUGGGCAACCUACCUUAUACAGGGGAAUAAUCACUGGAAACGGUGACUAAUACCGCAUAAUAUUGCGAUAAGGCAUCUUAUUGCAAAAGAAAGGAGCAAUACCGGUAAAAAGUUGGGCCCCGCAUCUGAUUAGCUAGUUGGUGAGAUAACAGCCCACCAAGGCAACGAUCAGUAGCCGACCUGAGAGGGUGAUCGGCCACAUUGGGACUGAGACACCGGACCCAAACUCCGUACGGGAGGCAGCAGGUGGGGAAUUAUUGCACAAUGGGGGAAACCCUGAUGCAGCAACGCCGCGUGAAGGAAGAAGGUUUUCGGAUCGUAAACUUCUAUCAAUAGGGACGAAGGAAAUGACGGUACCUAAAUAAGAAGCCCCGGCUAACUACGUGCC
rnacentral:rRNA from 1 species